AACGAUUUUCGAUUUUUGCCUUUGUCAACAAGUUAAGUUUAGUUAACAUUAGAUUUAUUUUUCUAAACCAAUGCAAAGUAAAAUAAAAAAUAGAGGAAUUUAUUUUCAUGAACCAUUCAUUAUAUACCUUUAAGUACUAAAAACUGUUGCUAUGAAAGUUCAUGAAAUCUGGGAUAAAAGCUUUUAUUUUAUGGUUAGUACUAAUUGAGUAGUUACGGGAUUAAACGUAGAUGGCCAAUAAAAAUAAACUGUGGUAGAAUCUUAUUUACUUCGCUGAAAUAAUAUUAGUGCAUUUAGAUGGUUUUUAGAUUUUGGGUUGAAUAAUCCCCGGGUCAGUAAACUCGAUCAUUUGAAUUCCAAGUCGGCAGGACUGAAGUCAGUCUCGGUGAUACAGUUCUACUUUUUUAUUCUAAAGUUUUCGGUGCAUUUAUCACGAGAGGCGAACACUCAGUCCUCGUGCUUUAUUAUCAGAUUGAAAAAGCGUCCAGCGGGCGCUUUUUCUCCACGGGCAAAGCCCGUUGUUUUUCCAUACCACGAUCCUUCGGUGAUCGACGCUCGACGAGGCCCGCCAUUCGCUGGCAGUUAAACGGGGCGAGAAGAAAGUCUGGCCUGCUUGCGUUCGUUCGCGUUCGAUCUGGCAGCGUACCAGUUUGCCGACGCCUCCCCCGCACCUUUAGAUCGGCCGUUGGUGAAAUCGAGCCACCCCUGUCGGCGCUUGUGAACAGCGUAGCGAUGCAUCCCAGGUGGUGAGGACCGGCCCUGCUACACCGUCCCGAGUUUUUUCAUCGCACGCCACACCGGCGUGUCCCUCGGUAGACGAACCGGUCCGCAUAGUAGCGAAAUCAAACCCUGCGCAGGUAUGUUUCAUUCAUGGCCAUGACAACACUACAACACCCACACAUACACACGUUCAUUGAUAGACGGAAAAAAUGAAUAUAUGAAAAUGAAGCUAAAUUGAGUUACCUAGUUACAUUCAUUUAACAAAUGCUAAGCCCUGAGGUUCUGUAGUCCGCCCUGGUGAUUAUAUUCUACGUUACGUUCUAUGUU